rnacentral:rRNA from 1 species
AGAACGAACGCUGGCGGCAUGCCUAAUACAUGCAAGUCGAACGAUCCUUCGGGAUAGUGGCGGACGGGUGAGUAACACGUGGGAACGUGCCUUUUGGUUCGGAACAACUCAGGGAAACUUGAGCUAAUACCGAAUGUGCCCUUCGGGGGAAAGAUUUAUCGCCAUUAGAGCGGCCCGCGUCUGAUUAGCUAGUUGGUGGGGUAAAGCUCACCAAGGCUACGAUCAGUAGCUGGUCUGAGAGGAUGAUCAGCCACAUUGGGACUGAGACACGGCCCAAACUCCUACGGGAGGCAGCAGUGGGGAAUCUUGGCGCAAUGGGCGAAAGCCUGACGCAGCCAUGCCGCGUGAAUGAUGAAGGUCUAGGAUUGUAAAAUUCUUUCGACCGGGACGAUAAUGACGGUACCCGAGAAGAGCCUCGCUACUCGUGCCAGCAGCCGC